rfam:Smithella sp. ME-1 CONTIG_5128, whole genome shotgun sequence.
AAAAGACGGGACGCAAAGUUACUGACCUAAGUCUUCAUUGUAGGAUAGGGUGGCAGAACCGCCGGG